AACGAACGCUGGCGGCAUGCCUAACACAUGCAAGUCGAACGAUGCUUUCGGGCAUAGUGGCGCACGGGUGCGUAACGCGUGGGAAUCUGCCCUUGGGUUCGGAAUAACAGUGAGAAAUUGCUGCUAAUACCGGAUGAUGUCUUCGGACCAAAGAUUUAUCGCCCAGGGAUGAGCCCGCGUAGGAUUAGCUAGUUGGUGGGGUAAUGGCCUACCAAGGCGACGAUCCUUAGCUGGUCUGAGAGGAUGAUCAGCCACACUGGGACUGAGACACGGCCCAGACUCCUACGGGAGGCAGCAGUGGGGAAUAUUGGACAAUGGGCGCAAGCCUGAUCCAGCAAUGCCGCGUGAGUGAUGAAGGCCUUAGGGUUGUAAAGCUCUUUUAACCGGGAUGAUAAUGACAGUACCGGGAGAAUAAGCUCCGGCUAACUCCGUG
rnacentral:rRNA from 1 species